UACGUAGGGGGCUAGCGUUGCUCGGAAUGACUGGGCGUAAAGGGCGCGUAGGCGGUUUGUCCAGUCAGAUGUGAAAUUCCUGGGCUCAACCUGGGGGCUGCAUUUGAUACGUGCGGACUUGAGUGAGGAAGAGGGUCGUGGAAUUCCCAGUGUAGAGGUGAAAUUCGUAGAUAUUGGGAAGAACACCGGUGGCGAAGGCGGCGACCUGGUCCUUGACUGACGCUGAGGCGCGAAAGCGUGGGGAGCAAACAGG
rnacentral:rRNA from 1 species